GCACUCGUAGCUCAGGUGGAUAGAGCGUUGGCCUCCGGAGCCAAAGGCCACUGGUUCGAGUCCAGUCGAGUGCACCACCC
rnacentral:tRNA from 1 species